rnacentral:rRNA from 1 species
CUCCGGCGCCGAAGGAUGUGGCUGCGGCCGAUUAGGUAGACGGUGGGGUAACGGCCAACCGUGCCAAUAAUCGGUAUGGGUCAUGAGAGUGAGAACCCAGAGACGGAAUCUGAGACAAGAUUCCGGGCCCUACGGGGCGCAGCAGGCGCGAAACCUUUACACUGCACGACAGUGCGAUAGGGGGAUCCCAAGUGCACAGGCAUAGCGCCUGUGCUUUUCGGCACCCUAAGGCGGUGCCAGAAUAAGGGCUGGGCAAGACCGGUGCCAGCCGCCGCGGUAAUACCGGCAGCCCAAGUGAUGGCCGAUCUUAUUGGGCCUAAAGCGUCCGUAGCUACUUUCC